UUCCGAUUGGGAUAUAUGAGUACCGAUUUACUAAAGCUUAAGCUUUCCUUCUGCCAGUGAUACCUUGGUAGUGAGCGGGCAGCAGCGGCAGCUUCUGAAUCCAGUUACCCUCAGGGCCAUCGAACAAGCUUAAAAAUUGAAAAUGGUGGACGUCCGUGCUGUGAUUGAAUCAUUUUUUGUCAUGCUGAAAGAGAACAUCUAUGUCUUGAUCCGCAUUGAGUCCUUGGUGGCACUGGUGACAUUGAUAUUCCUUGCAAUGUUCAUCAUAGACUUCUACCGCUGCCGAACUCGUAGCUCAAUCUUGACCACCAUUCUUGAAAGCAUCGACGAAUUAUCUGAUCAGAUAGUAGUGUACCUCAUUGGAGCCAUGCAAUCCGCGAGGUUUGAGAAUGAGCUGUUCCCGGUCUGGGCCAUCGUGCUGGUGAGUCUCCGUACCAGCCUCGGCUAUCUCUCUGGGUAUGGCAUCUCAGACCGUGAUCGACAAUUCAUGGAGCUGGCAAAUGUGAUCAAGUUCAUAGGGGCAGGGGUCUUGGCUGGCACUCGUGGCUUGAAGUAUGCAAGGCCACUCUGGUCAUUUUGGGCCAUCCUGCAACUGAAGAGCAUGUACCGGUUCUUCGCACAUGGCAUGGCAAACGAAUCCUUGUGGCAUGGCCGGAGCUCAGAGUUUAUUCCUGAGUACAUGCGCACCUUCAUUCCUGAGGACCAGGAGACAGGCGUCAAUCAUGAUGAUAGAAACACAUCAACUAUGAUGCCAGGCAAAAAAUAUCUGAUCUGCGGAGAGUCCAACAAAGACAUCACCUUAAAGAAGCCUCAAUACACUAUAAAUAUCAGCAACAGCAGCGCUCAGUCACUGGUCACACUGGGCAAGAUUCAGGAGUACAAUUGGAAGGGGAUGAACAACAGAGAUGGAGACAGUAAGUUUAAAGACUUGAGCAUGGCCUUCUCACUGUCAAGGCUGCUUCGGUGCAGGCUUGAAGAUGUGACACUGAACAAAGAUAGCAUUAACGACAUGCAGCAUCUAAUCAUCUCGGAGUUCAUUCCUGACAGCCGAGGACAACGGCAGGAGGAGAAGGUGGACGGGCACCAGGCUGUCGAGGCUGAGCGGACAUUCAGGAUCCUUGAGUUGGAGCUUGCAUUUGUCAGAGACUACUUCUACACCCUCUACCCAUUGGUCUUCUGGGAAGGGCUUGGUUCUCUCUGUUUGAGUCUGCUCCUGUCCGCUGCAACUUUCGCCAUUGCCUUCUGGCUGGCCGUAGGAAUCCGCAAGGUCUAUCAACCCCCAGAGGGCAAUCUUGUGCUCUGGGUGGAUGGAUGUAAUUUUGACAUCAUCAUGACAUGGGUGUUCAUGUUCUGUGUGAUGUUCAAGGAGAUCUGGGAAAUAGUCACAUACCUGGUAUCAAACUGGACAAGAUUACUUGUCCUGUGCAAGUAUGUGCAGGACCAGGCUUGGUUUGUGAGUGAACGACUCACGAAGCAUCUAGUAAGGUCAUUUUUCGAGUCAAAAAUUGGCGAACCAUGGCAUGGACGUAUCGAUCAGUAUGACUUCUUGCAGCAAAUUACUUACAAGCCAACAUUAUGGAAACUGGCAAAUGUCAUCACCCUGGGAAAGAUUAAAGGCAAAUUGGAUGGGAAAAAAACUGGUGAAGCCAUCAAGAUCCCUCAAUGUGUAAAGCUAGCAAUCCUACAGGCAAUCCGCCGCAUCGGCCUCACCAGUAGACCGUUACCGAGAGAAAUCCCAUCACUGAGAAGCUACGUACAUGCUCUCAAGUCAUUCUAGUGUGGCACAUCGCAACCAGCCUCUGCGAGAUCAAGCUUGCGCAUGACAAGAAAAUUGACUUAACCAAACCUGGGUUCUUGUGUUCUGCCUGGUCGUACAUGAAAAAAAAGCUCUGCUGCUUCUCUUCCUACCCAUACCUUAUAGGCGAGAACAGUGGCCUGUCUGCUGGGCUCAAAACAAACUACCAUAUCGCGAUCAGCUUGUCACGGUAUUGCGCUUAUCUACAGGUUUUUCGUUCUGAACUGUUACCAGAUAGUUUUCUUGUCCCUGAAGUGCUAUUUGUGGAAACCUUAAAGCAUGCCCGCGAACAACUCAAGGAUUGUAACCUGAAAUGGUGUAGAUAUAACAAACUCAUGGGAAUUGCACUGCAAGCAACACCAAGCAGUGUAGAUGAGAAAUUGAAAAUGAACAUACUGCAGCAAGGUGUUACUCUAGCCAAGGACCUGAUCGGAAUGAAGGAUGAUGAAGCCUGUUGGAAGAUCCUAGCUGAGGUUUGGGCUGAUUUACUUGUGCACAUCGCCCCAAGCUGGAAUGCAUCAGAUCAUAAGAAUAAUCUCGAGUCUGGAGGCGAGUUCAUUACUCUAAUCUGGGCAUUGCUUUGGCACUGUGGCAUCGAAAAGAGCAGCCUGUGGCACAAGGAUGAAGCAUUUGAAAACAAUUCUCAAGUACCUCAAGAAAGCAGUACUGAAACCAGAAAUGUUAUACCUAUGGAUGAGCCAGCUAAUGAGGAUGGAAUCGAGAGUUCAGAAGAGCUCAAGACAAGAAGCUUUAGGAGGGGAAAGGAGAGCAGAAAUGGUCCAAAAGAUACAGCAAAGCAAUCACAUGGUGAGAAUGAAGAAAAGAAUGGCAUAUCUUCCAGCAGCUUCAGGAGUUAAUGUGCCACAAAUACUAUGGUGAGCGUGUAAAACCAAGUGUGGUUUUGGUUUAUUUGUGAUGGAAAAUUGGCAACGAAAUAUAUAACCAUGAGUUGGUUUUGAGUGAGAAAUUUGCUUUGGAUUGUUGGCGAUUUUAGGCAUCAGUGCUUAUGACUAAUGUGGGUCAGGUUGCGAUAUCUGUGCCCAGAAUCGGAUGUUUGGUUUACGUGUGUGCAGGUGAUCGAAGUCAACCUCGGUCAAUGGCGAGGACCGGGACUAUGCUCAGGGAGGAGCAUAGGUCCGGCACGGUCAAGAGGCCAUGUGACAAGGUGGGACUGACGUCAUGAUCCCUGAUGGUCAACCUAGGUCGACGGCGGAUCGGGACUAGACUGAGGGGGAGUUGAGGUCCAGAAUGAUCGACGAAGCUGUGUGACAAGGUUAAGAUCAAGGUGACACAUGGUGGACGAACACCGUGUCGGGAAGACUUUGCGACGGGCUUCGCAAGGUCAAGUGCAAGUGCCGGGAUUCGCGAAGAAAGCCGACGGAUGAAAGGAGCAAGCAGUGCUACAGUACACGUGGUACUGUAGCAUGCAGCCAAUGAGAAAAGUGCACGUGCAUGCACUUGGUUGGAAGACUUGGUCAAGCAAGCUAGCAUGCAAGCUGUGCAUGUGUGUGCAUUGGUUUGAGCAGUGCAUGCAUGGACAAGGUGAUGUGCAUGUGUGUUGUGAUUGGUUGGUAGGGAGGCCACCAAUCCAUCGUGAUCAUGGGCUCGGCCAGGAUGCCACACGGCUGGACCGGACUGGCCCAGUCCAAGAUGGAGCAGAGGCCAGCAUGAUCCAAGCAACGACGGCCCAGCUCGGCAAGCAAGGGCGUCAAGGCAGGAGGUCUCGGCGACGACGCGCGCGUGAGGGACACGCGGCAGGCGCGGACUCGACUGCGCGCUCUCGCGCGGGAGAUCGACUACAUGCGGGACCCAUGCCAAAUUCAGAUGGCGUGCGCGGGAGGAGAAGGUGCGCGGGAGCGGCUGGGCGACGUGGCAGCAUCGGUUUCGCGCGCGGGCGUGGGACCCAAGCGACUCCGCGCGCGCGCGGGAGAUGGCGCUCUCCCUCGCUGUCAAGUGGGCCCGGCCGGGAGCACGAGCUCGCGUGAGGGACGCGCGUGCGGCACGGCUGGCGACGUGGCGUGCAUGGAUUGGUUUGGAUUGGGAUCACACGGAUCGGGAGUGCGAGGAGUUUUUGGAUUGACUAGGUGGCAGCGAUCUGGAGCUUCCUUUGAGUAGAAGGAACAAUGGAUGGAACAGAUCUGUUCUGAGUUAGGUUUUCGCCCUAGGGGUAUUUGAGACAAUGUCUUAGGGGUCUUAGGCUAUAAAUAGAGAGAUGGAUGCAAGGGUGGAGGUUGCUCCUUUCGUAAUCCUUUUGAGAUGCUCGGUGAGAGAGUUAUGGUGUGAGUUUGGAGUGUGUUUGCCUGAGAGGCUUUUGUAUUAGGAUUAGUUUGGAGUGUGUUUGUCCGAGAGAUUUUAAGUCUGUGUUAAUGUUCCUCUGAAGAAUUUACAAGAGCAAGCUGGAUCUAGUUCAACUACUGCCUUCCCGUGCCUGGAAACUGGAAAGAUUUUUUCAAAAGAAAUACACAGAAGCUAUUUGAAUAAAGUUAGUCCUUUUGGGGGGGCUCUUUGAAUAAGUCAAGUACACAGAUGUAUCCUUGAAACUUUGAAAGCCUCUUGGUUGGUCCCUACUUGCCGUUUACAUGUUUGUGGUCUUUUUAUGUUGUCAUGAUUUUCACACUCAAUUGGAGAAGUCCUCUAUUUUCCCUUCGUUUAUUGUGAUGUAUUUGAAUACCUAUAUGUAUUUUGCUUGUCCUACGUCCUGCAUGGGAUUGAUAGCAGAUUGGAAUUAAGUCGACCCCUUUCUAUGAAUUGCUCUUCUUUAUUAUCUUUGUGUUACCGUCAAACUCCCAGCGAUAUUGUACAUUAUAUAGAAGUAUAUAACAUAGAACAUUUGUGA